GAUGAACGCUAGCUACAGGCUUAACACAUGCAAGUCGAGGGGCAGCAUUUCAGUUUGCUUGCAAACUGGAGAUGGCGACCGGCGCACGGGUGAGUAACACGUAUCCAACCUGCCGAUAACUCGGGGAUAGCCUUUCGAAAGAAAGAUUAAUACCCGAUGGUAUAAUCAGACCGCAUGGUCUUGUUAUUAAAGAAUUUCGGUUAUCGAUGGGGAUGCGUUCCAUUAGGCAGUUGGUGAGGUAACGGCUCACCAAACCUUCGAUGGAUAGGGGUUCUGAGAGGAAGGUCCCCCACAUUGGAACUGAGACACGGUCCAAACUCCUACGGGAGGCAGCAGUGAGGAAUAUUGGUCAAUGGGCGCAGGCCUGAACCAGCCAAGUAGCGUGAAGGAUGACUGCCCUAUGGGUUGUAAACUUCUUUUAUAUGGGAAUAAAGUUUUCCACGUGUGGAAUUUUGUAUGUACCAUAUGAAUAAGGAUCGGCUAACUCCGUGCCAGCAGCCGCGGUAAUACGGAGGAUCCGAGCGUUAUCCGGAUUUAUUGGGUUUAAAGGGAGCGUAGGUGGACAGUUAAGUCAGUUGUGAAAGUUUGCGGCUCAACCGUAAAAUUGCAGUUGAUACUGGCUGUCUUGAGUACAGUAGAGGUGGGCGGAAUUCGUGGUGUAGCGGUGAAAUGCUUAGAUAUCACGAAGAACUCCGAUUGCGAAGGCAGCUCACUGGACUGCAACUGACACUGAUGCUCGAAAGUGUGGGUAUCAAACAGGAUUAGAUACCCUGGUAGUCCACACAGUAAACGAUGAAUACUCGCUGUUUGCGAUAUACAGUAAGCGGCCAGGCGAAAGCAUUAAGUAUUCCACCUGGGGAGUACGCCGGCAACGGUGAAACUCAAAGGAAUUGACGGGGGCCCGCACAAGCGGAGGAACAUGUGGUUUAAUUCGAUGAUACGCGAGGAACCUUACCCGGGCUUAAAUUGCAUUUGAAUAUAUUGGAAACAGUAUAGCCGUAAGGCAAAUGUGAAGGUGCUGCAUGGUUGUCGUCAGCUCGUGCCGUGAGGUGUCGGCUUAAGUGCCAUAACGAGCGCAACCCUUAUCUUUAGUUACUAACAGGUCAUGCUGAGGACUCUAGAGAGACUGCCGUCGUAAGAUGUGAGGAAGGUGGGGAUGACGUCAAAUCAGCACGGCCCUUACGUCCGGGGCUACACACGUGUUACAAUGGGGGGUACAGAAGGCAGCUACCUGGUGACAGGAUGCUAAUCCCAAAAGCCUCUCUCAGUUCGGAUCGAAGUCUGCAACCCGACUUCGUGAAGCUGGAUUCGCUAGUAAUCGCGCAUCAGCCAUGGCGCGGUGAAUACGUUCCCGGGCCU
rnacentral:rRNA from 1 species